AACGAACGCUGGCGGCAUGCCUAACACAUGCAAGUCGAACGAGACCUUCGGGUCUAGUGGCGCACGGGUGCGUAACGCGUGGGAACCUGCCCUUAGGUUCGGAAUAACUCCCCGAAAGGGGUGCUAAUACCGGAUAAUGUCUUCGGACAAAAGAUUGAUCGCCUUUGGAUGGGCCCGCGUUGGAUUAGCUAGUUGGUAGGGUAAAAGCCUACCAAGGCGACGAUCCAUAGCUGGUCUGAGAGGAUGAUCAGCCACACUGGGACUGAGACACGGCCCAGACUCCUACGGGAGGCAGCAGUGGGGAAUAUUGGACAAUGGGCGAAAGCCUGAUCCAGCAAUGCCGCGUGAGUGAUGAAGGCCUUAGGGUUGUAAAGCUCUUUUACCCGGGAUGAUAAUGACAGUACCGGGAGAAUAAGCUCCGGCUAACUCCGUG
rnacentral:rRNA from 1 species